GGCCUACGGGAGGCAGCAGUGGGGAAUAUUGCACAAUGGGGGAAACCCUGAUGCAGCGACGCCGCGUGAGUGAAGAAGUAUCUCGGUACGUAAAGCUCUAUCAGCAGGGAAGAAAAAAAGUCUUUGGCUUUGGACGGUACCUGACUAAGAAGCCCCGGCUAACUACGUGCCAGCAGCCGCGGUAAUACGUAGGGGGCAAGCGUUAUCCGGAUUUACUGGGUGUAAAGGGAGCGUAGACGGCCAGACAAGUCUGAAGUGAAAAUCCAGCGCUUAACGUUGGAAGUGCUUUGGAAACUGCCGGGCGA
rnacentral:rRNA from 1 species